AGAGGUUUUAGCUUAAUAAAAGUAUCUGAGUUGCAUUCAGGGGAUGUGUAUUAGAGUUUCACAGGCCUU
rnacentral:tRNA from 1 species